rnacentral:rRNA from 1 species
CCUACGGGUGGCAGCAGUGAGGAAUAUUGGUCAAUGGGCGAGAGCCUGAACCAGACAAGUCGCGUGAAGGAUGACGGCCCUACGGGUUGUAAAAUUCUUUUGGCAGGGAGCAAUUGAGUCCACGUGUGGUCGUAGCGAGAGUACCUGAAGAAAAAGCAUCGGCUAACUCAGUGCAAGCCGCCGCGGUAAUAAGGCGGAUUCGAGUGGUAUCCGGAUUUAUUGGGUUUAAAGGGUGCGUAGGCGGAAGGUUAAGUCAGCGGUCACAUGUCGGUGCUCAAGACCGGCCUGUCGUUGAAACUGGUCUUCUUGAGUGAGCGAGAAGUAUGCGGAAUGCGUGGUGUAGCGGUGAAAUGCAUAGAUAUCACGCAGAACUCCGAUUGCGAAGGCAGCAUACCGGCGCUCAACUGACGCUGAGGCACGAAAGCGUGGGGAUCGAACAGGAUUAGAUACCCCAGUAGUC